GACCUGGACCUACACCACAACCCUCCCCAAAUACCUGAAGACUCUUUCGUCAGUGUUUGUGAUACUACUCAUACCUCAAGCAGCAAAGUGGGCGGGGGGAUUAGUCCCUGCAAUCUUGUAUGGUCAACUCCUCGCUUCUGGUUCGUCAGUUCUCGGGUGGUGUGACUCCCCAGCAUACCGUAAUGCACUGAAGGUGUUACGAAAAUAUUCACCACUGAGUUAUGUCACGCCUUGGCGUGCUAGUCACCUCAAGAACCCUCUCCACGAUUUAAUUUCCUGUUCUUAUUCAGUCUCGUAGACUUUAUUGAAGACAAUUUGCAACGUUACUGGAGGUGGGGGCAUCAAUCUCGUGCUCGCGGUGUCAGUACAAGAAUGGAGAACAACGGAAUACCGUCUAAUGUGUCUAGACAACAUCUUGUUGUUAAUGAUGAACCUGUGGACAAUGUCAGUGGUGAUGGUAAACCAGUGGAGACCAUGGAGAACAGGAGAAUAUCCAGGCAGGAGUGGGUUACUGUUGCUGUGCUAUGUUUUGUUAAUUUGAUUAAUUACAUGGAUAGGACUACUAUUGCUGGUAUGUUAUCGAAUAUACAAGCGGAAUUUCACUUAGGUAACGACGAGUCAGGCCUCCUGCAGACAGCGUUUAUCAUCAGUUACAUGAUAUUCGCCCCCUUGUUCGGAUACUUGGGGGACAGAUACAAUAGAAAAAUCAUCAUGAGUGCUGGUGUAUUCCUGUGGUGUCUGACAACUCUAAUUGGAUCUUAUAUGAAGACUUACGAAUGGUUCCUGAUUUUCCGCAUGUGCGUGGGCAUUGGUGAGGCGAGUUAUUCGACGAUUGCCCCGACGAUAAUUAGUGAUUUAUUCGUCAAAGACGCACGCUCGAAGAUGCUGGCACUUUUUUACUUUGCAAUUCCAGUUGGUAGUGGUCUAGGUUACAUAACUGGUGGACAAGUGGCUGUUGCCACUGGUCAGUGGCAGUGGGGACUCAGGAUAACCCCAGCCCUUGGUCUCAUCGCCAUCGCCCUCAUCCUCUUCGGCGUCAGGGAUCCAGUCAGAGGGGAGAGAGAGGGAGGUUCGCACAUUGCAAGCACCACAUGGGGAAACGAUAUUCGUGCCCUCGUGAGAAAUCCAAGUUUUAUGCUUUCAACAGCUGGAUUCACCUGUGUGGCAUUUGUUGCUGGGGCUCUGGCCCUCUGGGCCCCAAAAUUUCUUGAGCUGGGGCUCAAAUUGCAGAAGGAAAAAACACUAGUUGUCGAUGAUGUUUCUUUCGUGUUCGGGGGCAUCGCCAUGCUGGCUGGUCUUAUUGGGGUCCCCCUGGGUUCCUUCAUGGCCCAGAGGAUGAGAAUAAAAUGGCAUCAGGCUGAUCCUCUAAUUUGUGGCAUUGGACUUCUCGUCAGUGCUCCCAUGAUUUUCUUCGCUAUUAUUACUUCCAGUGGAAAUUCCAUUGUAUGUUUUAUGCUGAUUUUCUUGGGGCAAUUAGCCUUGAACCUCAACUGGUCUAUCGUUGCUGAUAUGCUGCUGUAUGUUGUCAUUCCCACGAGAAGAUCUACGGCCGAGGCCUUCCAGAUUCUGGUGGCGCAUGCUCUGGGUGACGCUGGGAGCCCUUAUCUCAUUGGAGUGAUGUCAGAAGGACUAAGGCCUUAUCUCCUCGCUCCCGGUGAGCCAACUAAUGAUUACGUAGAUUUCAAAUGCCUUCAGUAUUCCCUAUUCCUGACAAUAUUCGUCGAGGUACUUGGGGCCCUCUUCUUCUUCCUCACAGCUCUUCAUAUUCAGAAGGAUAAGGCAUUGGUGGACCUCACAAUCGCCGUGCAUGAGUUGUUACCAAGUUUGGAGCUAGUGCCACUGAAAUUGGAAGGCUGAAGUUACUUGUUGAAUCUGUAAUCAAGUUCUCAAGAUGAUGUGGGUUGAAGUGUCGGGCAUCAUUAGUCGAUGUUAAUUGCAUUUUUAAUCGUUUUUUGGGAAGAGUGUCAAUUAAUUCUCUUUUUGUGGCAUAUAUAUGACUCUGAGUUUAAUAUGCAACCGGCUGAAUUAUGGGAAUUCUGACACAACUGCAGUUGGCACAUCUCUCAUCAGACCCGAGGACGCUAACAGGUAGUUACAAUAACGCACUACAGUGCAGCAAUCGAUUAACAACAGACUGAUCAAUUAAUUUUUUAAUGCGGCUCCAGUGUGCACAUUUUAUUUCAUUAUUUUUGUCUCGAAUUUUUGUGUUUCUCGUACUUUUUAGCUGAAAGCUUAGGAAAAUUGAAGCUUAUGAUUAAGUUAAUGGAUAAUUUUUGCCAUAUCUCGAAAACCAUAACUUGUGGAUAAUCAAUAAUGGGGCAAAACGGAUUCAUGACUAGUGGAUGGAAUGGAAAAUACUCCCACCCAUCGAUUGAGUCCAGGCGUCUACCUCUAGCACUGCCGGUUCUUGAGAUAUCGCAGAAAGAAUAUUUUUCUUGGCACCUAAAAAUUCUUGAUAAUAGUAGAAAUUCAGCUACUAUUAAAAAAAUAGUUUUCCGAUUAAUAAGUAAUGGUUAUUCUAGUAAACACCUGUGCUAGGCUGUGCAAUGGUAUCCAUUUAAAGUUAUUAGUAAUCAUUAUCAGUCGAAUAUAAUUGUUAAAAAUUGCUCAAUCGCUUGAACUUAUUUCAAGUGUUUUUGAAAAGAAGAAUUGAAAGAAAAAAGUAAUUGUAUGGUAUUGCUACUAUUUAAAUUAUAUUUUUUAUAAUGAUGCUGAUUAAUUGUUAUUCAUAUUCCUUAAUAAUAGUUAUAGAAACUUUUUUGUACAUUUUCGGCCCCAUUUUUUCCAUUUUCUUUUCUUCGCUUUUGAGGGGAAAAAAUGGAAAUAAAAUUUUAAGGGUCAUGCUUUUGGAAAUAAAUGAGUAAUGUUUA